rnacentral:rRNA from 1 species
UACAGAGGUCCCAAGCGUUGUUCGGAUUCACUGGGCGUAAAGGGUGCGUAGGCGGUCGGGUAAGUCUGAUGUGAAAUCUCACAGCUUAACUGUGAAACUGCAUUGGAUACUAUCCGGCUAGAGGAAUGGAGGGGAGACUGGAAUACUUGGUGUAGCAGUGAAAUGCGUAGAUAUCAAGUGGAACACCAGUGGCGAAGGCGGGUCUCUGGGCAAUAACUGACGCUGAGGAGCGAAAGCGUGGGGAGCGAACAGG